GACAUUGACCAGGGAUACUGCAAAUGAAAAACCCUAAUCCUCUAAUUCCCCUUCUCUUGAUUAUGCCUACAAUUGCACACAGACAAAUUAUGUCUGAUCUAUCAUCUACACCUAAAUAAAAACCUCAUCACCAUCAUCCUUACAAAACCUUCUUUUUCUUUGCCACUUUCUCUCGAAUUACAUACAGACAAACACACACAUACUCUACUAAAACUCCCUUCACCAUCUUUAAAAAAAAAGAUAUUAACUCCACUCUCACAUACCCUCUCUCUCUCGUGAUGCUCCUGGUCGACGAUGAUCGGAGCUUGUUAACCGCCGGCUGUCGGCGGUGUUACCAGCCGACAACACCCUCCCUCCCUCCUGUUGAUUUUCUCCGGCGAACACUCAGGUCACUCCGGUGACUAACCCACUUGUUCCGGCUCCCCACUCGAAGCAGAAACAACUGCCACCACCCUCGUUGGUGGCACACGGCGACGAUACACGAAGAGAUAGAGAGAAAGGGGCAAGCGGUGGAGGUUGACGACGACUUUAAUUUCUUUCGACAUGCUCACUGCUGGAAAAGGUGAUGUCUUCAGUGGUGGUGUUCACGGAAUAACAAAACCGCCACGCGGUGGCAGCCGGUGACGGCAGUGGUGGUGGUGGUUAUAUUGAUUCAGGUGACUCGGUUUCAGUUCGGGUCAUGGGUCGAGACGCGGGUUCGAGUCAGCGGGUCAAACCCGGUCGACUCGGGUCAAACCGAGUAGACUCGGGUCAACAACAGGCGCAACGGAUCAGGGCGUGGUUAGUUUGGGCAGGUUUCUCCAAUUAGAGCUUCGCGACACGAACGGUUCGAAAUUAAAGUCACAUUUUUGGUUCGGGUCCCAGUCAACAUCAUGUCAACGUGAGGUCAAACGCAGUCGACUCGAAGACCCGGAAUGCUUUAGUUACACGCUAGCGAGUCCACAUUCUUGGAAUGACAUCACGGAAUCACGUUAAGCUAGCUUUGCACAGGAAUGU
rnacentral:lncRNA from 1 species